CCUUUGUACACACCGCCCGUCGCUACUACCGAUUGAAUGGCUUAGUGAGGUCUUCGGAUUGGCCUCGGGGAGCCGGAAACGGCACCCUUUGGCUGAAAAGUCGAUCAAACUUGGUCAUUUAGAGG
rnacentral:rRNA from 1 species